rnacentral:rRNA from 1 species
UACGUAGGGUGCAAGCGUUAAUCGGAAUUACUGGGCGUAAAGCGUGCGCAGGCGGUUUUGUAAGUCUGUCGUGAAAUCCCCGGGCUCAACCUGGGAAUUGCGAUGGAGACUGCAAGGCUAGAAUCUGGCAGAGGGGGGGUAGAAUUCCACGUGUAGCAGUGAAAUGCGUAGAGAUGUGGAGGAACACCGAUGGCGAAGGCAGCCCCCUGGGUCAAGAUUGACGCUCAUGCACGAAAGCGUGGGGAGCAACAAGG